AUGUUGACGCUUUUACCAGACGACGUGAUCUCUGAAAUACUCUCAUGGACGCCGGUGAAGUCCGUCUGCAGAUUCCGGUGCUUGUCCCGGGGGUGGCUCGCCCUCGUCUCCAGCCAGGCGUUCCUCGCCGCGCACAAGUCCCAAGUCGACCCGCACCUCCUCCUUGCCACCAGCUCCUCGGGCAAGGAAGCCAGCAACAUUGGCCGCGACCUGCGGCUGUUUGACGAGGAAGGCAAUGUCGUGAGAGUGAUCAGGAAUGUUGGUGCCCUUUGGACGGUCUGCCAUGGUGUUGACGGUCCGGUCUGCGUCACCCGCGAUUUUCGUGGUCGUCGCGACGUUUUCGGUGUCAAUGUGAUCAAUCCGGCUACCGGGAGUGUGCUAAUAACGGCGACCGUUGAGUUGGAGAGCCAAGAGAUCUUCCUCUUCAACAUCGGUUGUGCCGCCCCAUCUGGCGUGUACAAGGUUGUCCGCUUCGACGAUGAGUCUUGGAAGGUUCUCACUUUGGGAGAUGAUGCCGAGUGGAGUGAAUUGCGGUCUCCCGCAACCACACUGUCAAAUUACUUCUAUCGGAGCUUCGUGGUCACGGUCAAUGGUGUCAUGCACUUUCUUUACACGUCACGGAGAUUGCCGUUUUAUAAGGACCGUAUACUUCGCCUUGAUCUCGAGAGGGAAGAAUGGAAGGCAUCCCUUGAAGGCCCAACAAAACAAGGUGACCAGUUUCAAAAGCGGCUAACGACGGAAUGUAUAGUGAGGCUCAAUGACACCAUCUGCUUGGUUCAGUUGGAGGAACAUUUUGUUACCAACAAUAGAUGCACGAACCUAUGGCUUCUGACUGACUUCGACAAAGGCACCUGGGUCAAAGCAUACACGGUCUCCAUGACUCCGACCACCGUUUUAUAUCGGCCUUUGAGGGUGAUGCACGAUGGUGGAAAGUUGUUAUUCUAUGGCUACCAUAGCCCCACGAAAACCCGGAUGCUACAGGUUUAUGAUCCCCUUACUGCUACAAGCGCACACUUCAUGAAGUUUCCGAGAGAUUUUCAUAGCGAUGUUUGUCUUUGCGACUUGAACUUAGAGUGCUUUGUCUGA
rnacentral:rRNA from 1 species